AAAGAAGCCAUAUGUGGGUAUUGAACCCACUCCACUAAAGACCUAGAAACUACCCUCUCUCCACUAGACCAUUUAUGAUUAGUUAUCAUUUUAAUGCUAAUUUGGAUAAGUAAACCAAAAUAGACUAAAAAUUAGAAUUAAAAUAAAAAACUAAAAAAAAGUCUGUUGGACUACCAAAAAAAUGAAAUUAAACCCAGCCGCCUGGCUGUUGGGUUCUAGAGGUUGAUUGAUUGG
rnacentral:lncRNA from 1 species